UAGGGAAUAUUGCACAAUGGGCGAAAGCCUGAUGCAGCGACGCCGCGUGGGUGAUGAAGGAUUUCGGUCUGUAAAGCCCUUUUGUCAGGGAAUAAAAAAAUGAAUGUACCUGAAGAAUAAGCACCGGCUAACUUCGUGCCAGCAGCCGCGGUAAUACGAAGGGUGCAAGCGUUGCUCGGAAUUAUUGGGCGUAAAGCGAGCGCGGAUGGUUUCUUAAGUCAGGAGUGAAAGCCCUGGGCUCAACCCAGGAAGUGCUUUUGAUACUGAGAAACUUGAAUGUGGGAGAGGAUGCUAGAAUACCAAGUGUAGUGGUGAAAUACGUAGAUAUUUGGUGGAACACCGGUGGGGAAGCCGGGUAUCUGGCCCAACAUUGACAUUUAGGCUCGAAAGCGUGGGGAUC
rnacentral:rRNA from 1 species